rnacentral:tRNA from 1 species
GGAGGGAUGGCCGAGUGGUUUAAGGCGCACGCUUGGAAAGCGUGUUUACGCAAGUAACGAGGGUUCGAAUCCCUCUCCCUCUU